CUACCAUUCAGCUUGCUCUACAUGAAGCUGUAUGAGAACGACAUAUGCAAAUGGUUGUAAUCUACCAUCCAAUAGGAAAUGGAGGCACUGGGAACUUCAUUUCAGGAUGCUUGCCAUUUCACAGAUCAUAUCCCUGAACAGAAGCGUGAGAAAUUAAAUCCACAGCUAGUGGGGAAAGAACAGCCCAAGGCCACAAAUGCUUUCAACCUCUCAUUUGUUGCACGGCCACCGAGUGUUCUUGCCUGGGGCAGAAACAGCUUCUCAACAUGCUGUCCAUGCCAGUUAAAGGCAAUGAUCCACCGCGAUGGAAGCCUAUGCUGUCGGUCGUGUUCUUUCUCCCCCGGUCGAGAUGAG
rnacentral:lncRNA from 1 species